rnacentral:rRNA from 1 species
GGGCCCGCACAAGCGGUGGAGCAUGUGGUUUAAUUCGAUGAUACGCGAGGAACCUUACCAGGGCUUAAAUGUAAGUUGCAUUAGUUAGAGAUAGCUAUUUCUUCGGACCACUUACAAGGUGCUGCAUGGUUGUCGUCAGCUCGUGCCGUGAGGUGUCAGGUUAAGUCCUAUAACGAGCGCAACCCCUGUUGUUAGUUGCCAGCGAGUCAUGUCGGGAACUCUAACAAGACUGCCGGUGCAAACCGUGAGGAAGGUGGGGAUGACGUCAAAUCAUCACGGCCCUUACGUCCUGGCUACACACGUGCUACAAUGGUCGGUACAGAGGGCAGCGAAGUCGCGAGGCUAAGCAAA